UACGUAGGUGGCAAGCGUUGUCCGGAAUUAUUGGGCGUAAAGCGCACGUAGGCGGCUUGGCAAGUCGGAUGUGAAAGCCCUCGGCUCAACCAAGGAAGUGCAUCCGAAACUGCUGAGCUUGAGUACUUAAGAGGAUCGCGGAAUUCCCGGUGUAGAGGUGAAAUUCGUAGAUAUCGGGAGGAACACCAGUGGCGAAGGCGGCGAUCUGGGAAGAUACUGACGCUGAGGUGCGAAAGCGUGGGGAGCAAACAGG
rnacentral:rRNA from 1 species